UUACUAAUAAGACUAGUUGAUAAACAAUAAAUACCUAUGUAUUCUAAGUAUAUUAGCAGAUGGUUUAUUACAAUAUUAUUUUUGAGAGUUAAUAAAAUUUGACAAGAUGGUCUGCCCAAGGGGGGUUGAACACUGAUCAAAAUCAUUAGGGAUAGAAAAACUGAUCGCAAGCCUUCAGAAAUUACAGGACCAUCCAGUAACAAAACAAGUUUCAGCAACAAA
rnacentral:misc_RNA from 1 species